GAUGAACGCUGGCGGCGUGCCUAAUACAUGCCAGUCGAGCGAACAGACGAGGAGCUUGCUCCUCUGACGUUAGCGGCGGACGGGUGAGUAACACGUGGAUAACCUACCUAUAAGACUGGGAUAACUUCGGGAAACCGGAGCUAAUACCGGAUAAUAUAUUGAACCGCAUGGUUCAAUAGUGAAAGACGGUGUUGCUGUCACUUAUAGAUGGAUCCGCGCCGCAUUAGCUAGUUGGUAAGGGAACGGCUUACCAAGGCAACGAUGCGUAGCCGACCUGAGAGGGUGAUCGGCCCCACUGGAACUGAGACACGGUCCAGACUCCUACGGGAGGCAGCAGUAGGGAAUCUUCCGCAAUGGGCGAAAGCCUGACGGAGCAACGCCGCGUGAGUGAUGAAGGUCUUCGGAUCGUAAAACUCUGUUAUUAGGGAAGAACAAAUGUGUAAGUAACUAUGCACGUCUUGACGGUACCUAAUCAGAAAGCCACGGCUAACUACGUG
rnacentral:rRNA from 1 species